rnacentral:rRNA from 1 species
GGAAACAGGUGCUAAUACCGGAUAAGAAAGCAGAUCGCAUGAUCUAAGCUUUAAAAAGGCGGCGUAAGCUGUCGCUAGUGGAGUGCCCGCGGUGCAUUAGCUAGUUGGUAAGGUAAAGGCUUACCAAGGCGAUGAUGCAUAGCCCGAGUUGAGAGACUGAUCGGGCCACAUUGGGGACUGAGACACGGGGCCCAAACUCCUACGGGGGGAGGGGCAGCAGUAGGGGGAAUCUUCCACAAUGGACGCAAGUCUGAUGGAGCAACGCCGCGUGAGUGAAGAAGGUUUUCGGAUCGUAAAGCUCUGUUGUUGGUGAAGAAGGAUAGAGGUAGUAACUGGUCCUUUAUUUGACGGUAAUCAACCAGAAAGUCACGGCUAACUACGUGCCAGCAGCCGCGGUAAU